UACCCAACGUUCGUGUAUCCUAGAAUAACUAUUUUAUAUUUUACUUUUAACAAUUGUACUAAUUUUGUUUCUACAUUAAUUACUACGCUUUCAUGGA